rnacentral:rRNA from 1 species
CCUACGGGAGGCAGCAGUGGGGAAUAUUGGGCAAUGGGCGCAAGCCUGACCCAGCAACGCCGCGUGAAGGAAGAAGGCUUUCGGGUUGUAAACUUCUUUUCUCAGGGACGAAGAAAGUGACGGUACCUGAGGAAUAAGCCACGGCUAACUACGUGCCAGCAGCCGCGGUAAUACGUAGGUGGCAAGCGUUCUCCGGAUUUAUUGGGUGUAAAGGGCGUGUAGGCGGGAGCGCAAGUCAGAUGUGAAAACUCAGGGCUCAACCCUGAGCCUGCAUUUGAAACUGUGUUUCUUGAGUGCUGGGGAGGCAAUCGGAAUUCGGGGUGUAGCGGUGAAAUGCGUAGAUAUCCGGAGGAACACCAGUGGCGAAGGCGGAUUGCUGGACAGUAACUGACGCUGAGGCGCGAAGGCGUGGGGAGCAAACAGGAUUAGAUACCCUAGUAGUC